GGUCCAGACUCCUACGGGAGGCAGCAGUGGGGAAUCUUCCGCAAUGGGCGCAAGCCUGACGGAGCAAUGCCGCGUGAACGAAGAAGGUCUUCGGAUUGUAAAGUUCUGUCCUUAUCGAAGAGAGGGUAUAGAGUGAAAAAUGAUAUACUAGGACGGUAGAUGAGGAGGAAGCCCCGGCUAACUACGUGCCAGCAGCCGCGGUAAUACGUAGGGGGCGAGCGUUGUCCGGAAUCACUGGGCGUAAAGGGCGCGUAGGCGGGUUGACAAGUCAGAUGUGAAAUCCUGCGGCUUAACCGCAGAACUGCAUUUGAAACUGUUGAUCUUGAGUACUGGAGAGGCAGACGGAAUUCCUAGUGUAGCGGUGAAAUGCGUAGAUAUUAGGAGGAACACCAGUGGCGAAGGCGGUCUGCUGGACAGCAACUGACGGUGAGGCGCGAAAGCGUGGGGAGCAAACAGGAUUAGAUACCCGUGUA
rnacentral:rRNA from 1 species